rnacentral:tRNA from 1 species
GGGUUGUUAGCUCAGUUGGCAGUGGACUCUUAAUCUAUCGGUCGCAGGUUCGAGCCCUGCACAACCCA